UAAUGCCUGAUGUAUUUUAACAACUGGAGAAAACUAGUAGUGUAGGAUUCUUAGAUGUAUGUACCAUGGCCUCUCUUUGUGAACCCCCCCCCAGCCAGCAGAUCUGUCAUCAGGAGCUGGGUCCAGUGAGGCAGGAGUAGUUGAGACGGAGGCAGGGCGAGUCCGAGUCGGCUCAGAGGCAGGAAGAGGAGACACGGAUGCAGGGGGAGCCCGGUCCCACACAGAGGCAGAGGCAGGGAGAGGAGACAAGGAGGCAGGGAGAAGAGACACAGAGACAAGGAGAGGAGUCACGGAUGCAGGGGGAGCCCAGUCCCACACCGAGGCAGAGGCAGGGAGAGGAGACAAGGAGGCAGGGCCAUCAGUGGCAGGACAGGAAUUGCAGUGCUACGGGUGCAACCAGCUUGUGGAGGCAGCACAUUUUUCAGAGCACCUGUCUGACCA
ensembl:lncRNA